GUUCGUCAGUCUUUGCUGUGUUUACAUUUGGCUUGCAGCAAGGCUCAGCCCGGGGGUUCCUAGAGGUGAGAAGCAGCGCAUUUAGCUGUAUGCCUUGCAUUUAUUUACGUUGUCAUUGUAGAAUUUAUUAAGAUAAUCCCGUUUGGUCCGUACAAAAAUACAAGAGAAAGAAUGUUAUUUUAGUAGCUCCGCCCCGUAUGUAAAUUAUAUAAUUGUUGCUCGAAUAUUGUACAUGUAUGGAAAUAUAUCGGCUGUUCUAGAAGUUUCAUAAAAGUAUCAUUUUCUACUAUUGAUUAUUUAUUCACGCUACCAUUGAUGAGAGAGAACAGACAACAGAUUUGACGGCCGUAUUUAUUUAUCCCUUAGUUUAGUCACAAGUUUUGUGAGUUUAUUCGUAUUUGCUGGCUUUAAAACUAUACAAAAACAUAGCAAGAAGCAGAAAUUACAACAAUGGCGGCAGCGGUUUAGUUCUCACGUUUCAAUAAAUAAGGCACGUAUAUUUUUAGAAAUACUAAUGUGUAUGGAACACACUUAGUGACAAAUAUUGUGUAUGGAGUGCACUUAGCUCUAUACAUUAUACUGUAAUAAAUAGAUUAUAUUGGAAAAUACAGGAGUGCAUUUAGCUUCUAAAAAAUUUAAAAUAUUUAUAAAAGGAGGUGCAUUUAGCUUCCUAGAAAGAAAAAAAAAUUAUAAAGGAGGUGCAUUUUAGCUUCCUAGCAAGAAAAAAAAUAUAAAGGAGGUGCAUUUAGCUUCCUAGAAAGAAAAAAAAAUUAUAAAGGAGGUGCAUUUUAGCUUCCUAGCAAGAAAAAAAAUAUAAAGGAGGUGCAUUUAGCUUCCAAAUAAUUAUUUAUUAGAGAAAUAGAGGUGUAGUUAGCUUCUAUUGGCAUAUUAUUGUUUGUUUUAAAAAUGGAUAUUAGAAAUAGAAAAAUCCCAGCUCCAAAUUUUGGAAGGGGGGAAAGUAUGAAGAAUAUAAUUAUUUCACAGAGCGGAACUGUUGAGCCCUGUAAUUUAAUAGAUUUGGGUAUAGAAGAUGAUGUUAAUUUAUCUACAUCCAACCCCGCAGUAAGUCCUAUAAACUCGCCUGUGCAGAAUACUAGGACGAUUGAGGAAAGUAAGACGAAUUUGAAUAAUAAAGAUAUUAUUGCGAUUCUAAUGGACAUUCAGAGACAAUUAAAAAAUCAAAAUGAUAGUUUUUCUGAGCUGAGCACGCAAGUUAAGCUAAAUCAGGAAAAUAUAGUUCAAUUAGUAAGGGGUAACAGUGUGGCUGAAAAUAAGGCCAAUAUGCAUGACUUCAGUCAAAAUAGCUGUUUAGAC